AUAUUAUCCGUGUUACUUCUGUGCAAGACGAUUCUAUACGCCGCCCACUUGACCAGCAUAGUACUAUUAUUUGUGACAGAAAAAAAAUAGUUAAAUGAAAUUAACAAUUAUAUAUUUAUACAUGGUGGCAGUAGUAGGAACAACCCUUGCUCCUACUUCAUGAAUCAGACUACAAAUUUAGUCUGAUGCAAGUACAUAUAGGUACGUUCAGACUAAAAAUUUGAAGUAGGAGCAAGUAUUGCACGAACCAGUAUAUAUUUAUACAAGGUGGCAGCAGUAGGAACAAGGCUUGCAUGAAUCAGACUCAUACAUAGCUUAAGUAUUACUUCAUUUUAAUGAAGGUACAAGCCGAGUCAGAACACAUGCAGUAGCAAUCACGAAUAUAGAUACAGAUCCUGAAACCUUCCAGGACAUAAGCGUGAAGAUAAAUUGGAUUGUCUUUUUAAUAUCAAAUCAAGGUCUAGAAAUACAUAGAGAUAUUCAGUGGUGGACGUUGUGAAGACAAUAAUAUUUUUUUUACAUUUAAAAAAUGAAUAAUCUGAUCCUGUUAGGUAGUUGUCAAGCAUAUCUUACCAUCAACGUUGUGUGCAUCUAGGCAUGCUAGUUGUGCUAUAUUUAUGCCAGCUAAUGCAUUGUAACUUCGACCAAUUUUUCCAACAUAACCUGUGUGCUCUCUGCUCUCUGUGCUAUCCUUAGUCCCUUUCACUUUCAGAAAUAUCAUAAUAAGUGAAAAUGGAUAUACGAUUGUUUGCCAACAUUCGGUUUGUUCACAUCCAUGUUUGUAAGGCAACAAAAACAAAGAUGUAUUUUGUAUGCCCACAGUUUACCCAAGUUUUAGCAAUGAGAUGAAAGUUCCUCCCUGACAACAAGCUAAGGCCUUGUACAAAUUACUAGAACUGGACCAGAGAAGCAAACGAUCUCACUUUAAGGAAGAAAUAGAAUAACUUAUCUUCAGUUCAUGCGUGUUAGGCCACGGUCAGGGGUAGUGGAACCCAGCGUUGGUUCCACAGCACCGUCGGGGAGGAAGAAGCAGAGGCCAGAGGUUGGCUGGACCGUCGUGUUCCAGUAUGUGUGCCUGAGAUGUAUGCCAAUCAAUCAAAGGAACUUGUUAUACACACACACAAAACAAAUUGAUCUGAUCACAUCUCAGUGGCUCGUCAUGUCAUGUUCAGAUUCAGAAUAAGCUAAUAGAACCCAGCACAGGAAGAAACUAAACUUGCUUAUGGAAAUAUCUCCUUAAGUUAAAGUGUUAAUCAUCAAGAUAUUUUAAAAUUUGUGAAGCACAUCUGUACAUUGAGAAAGUAAGAUUAAUAGCAAAUCGAAUAGAAGGAAAUGAAAACAACAAGUGCAGCUUUAGCACUCUACAGAUAUGGUGCUCCCGUUGCAUUGAAAUGUCGUUCACAUGUUUCGAAAUACCAUUUUCUUUUUCUCUCCCGUGUGUAGAUAUUUCUUUCAGGGCGUACAAUUUUGCUCCAAAACCACCGGCUAACCUACACUGAAAUAUGUGCCUACUCAGUUUCAGAUCGAUCCCCUCAACCUAUUCUAUUCUAUUCCAUCUCUAGAAUUAGGUAGCCACACACCAAAAAAACAAUUAAGAUACUAAUUCGUGAAAAUUAUCUCGUGGUCACGGAAGAUUUAAGAUGAACUGACCAGGAAGCUAUGAGAUUAGUCCAAAGUAAAAUGAAAAAAAAACAAGAACAAGUCACCAGUGAAGGGGGCGAGCGGGAGAUCAGACCUCAUGGACGGGGAAGGAAACUGCGAUGCCGCUGUCGCUGCUACCUCCAAUGAGCCAUGCCGUAGACCGGCCACCACACGGCCGCUCCGCUAAGACAAACCGACGCCAGGUUUGACCUCCAUGCCGGAUCUGCACAAAAGGCCACAAAGAUAGAGAUCCACCUGGAUUGAAUUGGAUUCUGCUUGAUUCUUCACUUCAAAAUGUAGUAGCGGAGCUAGUGCGUCCUUACCAACAGAGGGAGGAAGAGUCACGGGAG
rnacentral:lncRNA from 1 species